rnacentral:misc_RNA from 1 species
GGUUCUAUCUUUAAAGCUUUGGAGGAAUGUUUCAAGAGUAAUUCCCUGGAGAUGGCGAAAUCUUGCCUUGUUAUUUCCACAUGGCUCACAUACAUGCUUUCAGUCCUUCCUGAUACUGGUGUCAGAGAGGCUGCUCGUAAGUCAUUGCUUGAAGAAUUUAUAAAUGUCCUCCAAUCAUCCAGGAACAUGGAAGAGAAGAUUUUGGCCACCCUUGCAUUAAAAACUUUUGUUAUCGAUCCUGCUGCACUCGAGGAGCUGGGAAAGUAUGCCAAAUGCAUUUAUAAAAACUUGAGAAAGUUUAGGAGAACUUCACCCGUGAUCACUGAUGUACUGAAAUCUUUGAUGAACUUGUCCUCUGUCAAUGCAACAGAGUUGUGGCAUUGUACUGAAGUUAUUGAGCUGGAAUCAUCUGGAAAUGGUGAUGUUCUAUCAUUGCUUCAUUUGAAAGGUCGUGUUUUGAGCAGCCAUUCUGAUGGGACCAUAAAGGUGUGGGACGCUGGGAAGAGGGUUCUAAGGUUAAUUCAAGAAGUUCGCGAACACACAAAAGCUGUCACAUGCCUCUAUGUUCCAUCUUCUGGUGACAAACUGUAUAGUGGCUCCUUGGACAAAACAAUUCGGGUUUGGGCAAUAAAGCCCGAAGAAAUUCAUUGUGUUCAAAUUCAUGAUGUAAAAGAGGCAGUAUGUGUGUUGACAGCUAAUGCUAAAGUCGCAUGCUUUAUCUCUCAAGGAACAGGAGUUAAGGUGUAUAAUUGGUCUGGGGUUCCAAAGCAUGUAACUUUCAAUAAAACUGUGAAGUGCCUUGCCAUGACAGGGGAUAAAUUAUAUUGCGGAUGCUCUGGAUACAGUAUCCAGGAGGUGGAUUUGUGCAAAUUGACAUCAACCACAUUCUAUUCUGGUACAAGAAAAUUGUUGGGAAAACAAAUCAUACAUUCCCUACAUAUUCAUGAUGGUCUACUAUUUGCUGGCGGUUCAGCAAUUGAUGGGACGGCAGGAAAGGUAUUUUCUCACUGCACAAAAGCAGUGGUAGGAUCAUUUCUGACAGGAUUCGACAUCCUGCAUAUUGUAGUCAACAAUGACUUCAUAUUCACAGCUACAAAAUGCGGGGUGAUUGAGGUUUGGUUAAAAGAAAGAAUCACAAGAGUUGCCUCUAUUAAGAUGAGUGGUGGGGGGCACUCCAAAAUCACGUCCUUAACAGCAGAUAUGGACGGAGGAAUGUUAUAUGCUAGUUCUUCUGAUGGCAAGAUCCAGGCUUGGGCUGUGGACUAGAGAAUCCAAUGUUUCUUCUGCUGUAAAUCAAAGUCUCGACAAUUCUUCACCAUUUUACGGUUCGUAUUCCUUUUGUUCUAAAUUGUCUUGGCAUUUCUUCAUAAUUUUGUACUUAAAUCUCAUGUUGUAUUACAAAAUUAAUUUCUUGGAUUAUGUACGGAAUCGAUUUU